rnacentral:lncRNA from 1 species
AACAUGCGCAAUUGGUUUAUGAAUGUUGAAGAAUUUGGUGAUGUAAUAUGGGCAAAGAGAGCAGCAAAAGAAGUUUUUGGUGAAUGGAUAAGGAAUAGUAUUCAAUGAGGAUGAUGAGAUGUACGUGUUCUUAUCUUAUAUAUCUUCUUUUAUCAAUAACUUUAAACCCUUUUAGCACACAAUACCUUUAAUUAAUCCUUUAUGCUAGCU